rnacentral:ncRNA from 2 species
ACUGAUCUUCGGGGCAGGUGAAAUUCCUGACCGGCGGUAAAGCUGCGAAGCGAAGCCCGCGACUCCCUUAGCCAACAAUGGCAGAGGGACUGACUUGGUGAGAAUCCAAGGCCGACGGUAAAGUCCGGAUGGGAGAAGAUCGCC